GCCCAGAACACAGGAGACUCUCCACCAGUAUUUGUGUACUGAAUAAAGGAAUGAAGGAAACCUUCAGGCCUUCCCUCCUCAGAAGAAUCCUAAAAGGAACUUGAUUCAGGGAAAGACUUCAACUCAAAGGGGCUGGUAGGCCAUUUUAAAUGGAACAGAUGGAAGGCCAUCUUCAAAGGUACUGCCUACCUGAACCUGCCUUGUCCCAAAGGACACACUUCAAUCUGGGGAGAGUUUAAAGUUGUAGACAUAUCCAUUUUCAUUUAAGGAAUAUGAAGAUCAGGGAGGCAAAAUAUAGAGAUAUAGAGAGGAAAAACUGAGAGAUGAUCAGAAAUUCAGACGCAUUCGGAAUGAGCACCCUUGACCAUACCAAGAACAAAGACUCUAUAAAAAUGUGAAGUCUUAUUAUUGUUCAUCCAUGUUCUACGUGGGAUCCACCCAAGACAUUGAAAACUGUACAGAACAGGGUGAAAUUGAAUCAGAUCAUUCUGUACUCCUAACAAGGUCCACCCCAUGAGAGACUUGCAGCAGAAUUAAUGACACUGUAUAUUUUCCUCUACUAACAACAACAAGAACAACAACAACAACAAUCUAGGAAAAUCAAAGGCAGCCCGACAUGGAAAAAAACACAAAAUGAAUAUUUGGAUUACAAAUAGUGUGAUGGGAAGAACACACUGCCAAAAGUCCACCUAGUAUGUUGAAAUUACUGUUUCUAGCACAUAUAAGUCAACUUACCUAUAAAAGGAUACAAAAACUGAAGAACAGAGAGGAGCAGAUACCCUGGAAAGCCGAAAGUUUUAUUGACCAAAGACUGAGUCUCGGAAUGUUUUGAUUGUGGAGUUUAUAGAGUUCAGGCUGAAGUUUUAUAAAAAUAACUUGCAGCAGCAUGGAGGACUGAUGAGAAAGUAGACAGAUGCUGGAAGCAGGAAAACUGAACAGCAGGUCACUGGCCAAGGAGAAUCAAAGAGCUAGAUGCUGAGAAUAAUGCAGCCAUAACGUGAAAUCUUUUUGAGGCUCCGUGGUGGUCUUAAAAUAUAUCCACAAAUUUUCUGACAUCCUCUCUUCAAGAAGUGGAGCUUAAUUCCCUUUCCUUUGAGUGCAGACCACUCACUCUGGGAGAAAGCAACUGGCUAUGUCAUGAGGAAAUUGAAACCACCUAUGGAGAAAGGCCCACAUGGUGAGAAAGUAAAGCCUCUUCCCAAUACCAAAAUUCUGUAAGUCUGCUACGGUGACAUUUCUGGUUAGGAGUCAGAGUGGAUGGGACACUGAGCAAUAAGAAUGCAGAGACAUGAUGGCUGAAGCUGGAGCUUUUCCCUGAAGCAACCACCUGUUGGAAACUUCAUGUUGAAGAUGACUGAAUAAUAAGACAGAGGGGUCUGGGUCCCUGGUGGAUAUUCCAGAUCUGGGUGUUCGUGGAGAUAUGAGAAAGCAAUAAACUUCAAUUUUGCUUAAAUAGCUGUUACUUGGGGCAUUCUGUCAUUUAUGGACA
rnacentral:lncRNA from 1 species